UUUCCGUAGGUGAACCUGCGGAAGGAUCAUUAAUGAAUUGUAAUCGGAGUUGAUGCUGGCAGCUUGGCUGCAUGUGCUCGCUCCUAACAAUCUUCAUCCAAACACCUGUGCACAUUUAGAGAGGGUCUCCGAGUUCUCCUUGGAGUCCCUUCCUCUCAUUAUACACUUUAUUUUAAUAUUGAACGUGAUUGUGCCGUGAGGCCUUAAUAUUAAUACAACUUUUAACAACGGAUCUCUUGGCUCUC
rnacentral:misc_RNA from 1 species